UCCAGGAUAGCCUAGUGGAUAUGGCAACUGCCCGGUAUGCAGAAGGUUGUGGGUUCGAUUCCCGCUCCUGGAC